rnacentral:rRNA from 1 species
CCUACGGGUGGCAGCAGUGGGGAAUAUUGGGCAAUGGGCGCAAGCCUGACCCAGCAACGCCGCGUGAAGGAAGAAGGCUUUCGGGUUGUAAACUUCUUUUCUCAGGGACGAAGCAAGUGACGGUACCUGAGGAAUAAGCCACGGCUAACUACGUGCCAGCAGCCGCGGUAAUACGUAGGUGGCAAGCGUUAUCCGGAUUUACUGGGUGUAAAGGGCGUGUAGGCGGGAAAGCAAGUCAGAUGUGAAAACCAUGGGCUCAACCUGUGGCCUGCAGUUGAAACUGUUUGUCUUGAGUACUGGAGAGGCAGGCGGAAUGCCUAGUGUAGCGGUGAAAUGCGUAGAGAUUAGGAGGAACACCAGUGGCGAAGGCAGUCUGCUGGACAGCAACUGACGCUGAGGCGCGAAAGCGUGGGGAGCAAACAGGAUUAGAUACCCGUGUAGUC